AAAGGUAGUAGGAUAAAUAGAUUCCAGACGGCUUCUGCCACAGCCGAUCGUCGUCUCCCACGUCAUCGCUGCCGCCACCUGAUCUUGUUCUCUUCUCCGAGGGGGAUAGCGGCCGCGCUCUGCGAUCUCGAGCUGCGACGCCAUCGCACGGAGGGAGAAGAUAACGGUGAGAAACGACGCUCCGCUCCGCUCCCGUCCCCUCCCCUCUCUACUUGUGCUGCUUGCUUUUCUAGAAUUGAUCUCUCCUGCGGAUGGAAUCGCGACUCCGUUCUAUCCUAUGAUCCGUGAAUCGCUCCGCCAUUCACUGCUCUCUGCGGCCGGAUGGCUGUUUAGAUCCCAGUGGUUCUACCGAAUCACUCGGCUCAAUCUUCUGUGGCGUUCGCUAUUGUGUGAGAGGAUUUCUGCCCUUCUCCACGGAGAUUUAUCCUAGGGUUUCACUCUGUGGAUUUAUUUCAAGCCAUCGGGAAGAAAUUUCCUACCCUGCAGAUCCUGAUCUUAUCCGGAACACGAGUAUGAUGAUCGAUCUUCACUUCGAUUUCCUCCCAGAGGAACAUUGUUCCAGUCCGUAGGCUUCGUAUCCCCUCGCCGCAGAGAUGAGGGUUUAUGCCUGUUCAUUCCAACGCGUCGAAUUCAUCCUCGGUUGCUCAUAUCUGCAUGAAGAAGUCAGAGAAUGGAUGAGCACACUUCCAUCGCAUUAAAUCCUUCUUCCUCCACUCCUGAUUCCCUGGCAGCCUCCGAUAGUCAUCCUCGCUUCUCUGUUCCUGAUCCCAUGGCGUACCACUGUCUCUGAAAAUUCUCUCUCUAGUUCCAGGAAAAACCUUGCUCCAAUCUCUCUGUGCAGAUGAAUCUUCUUCCUCACCCUCCCCCCUCCCUGUUCCAUCCCUCUCUUCUCCCCUCUUCCUCCCAAGGAUUCGGACUCCUUGGGCAAUCAAGACAUCAAUCAGGCCGCACAAAGAAAUUUUCUCUUGUUUCCAUGAACAAUCCUAAUCCAAGGCAUCAAUCAGGUCACACAGAUGCCACCGAGCCCUUGAGUGGAACCCUCUGAUCAGCCGUUCUUCGUGUUCUUGCUCCCUGGCUAUAUGACCUCUUCUUCUUCUUCUUCUUCAUCCCAACAGAUCUCAGACCAAUUGACUUAUGUGGGCGUGCUGAAGAACUGAACAGAAAGGAAUGCAUCUCAGAGCAGAAGCUAUAUAGAUCACACAGCUGCUUGCCAUUUCAUGCUGUUUGAUUGAUGCUAUUUAGACGAGGGUUUUUUUUUUUUUGUUUAAUCAGAUGCUUGACGCCUCAUCUUCUGCAUUGCCACACUAGUAGAAAUUUUUCUAUUUAUACGGGCGAGCUGAAGAACUCUUCCUCCAUCAUCUAUCAAAACAUGGCAAGAAACAACAAUACGACUGCUCCGAGGAAUAAAAGCAUUCGUUCAUCAUGUUCAUGUCUCCUUGAUCUCAUUAAGAAAAACAAUUUUUUUUUUGUGGUUCCAUCUUGAAUUUUGAUGUUAAGAAAAAUAGAUAAUUUUGUUUUGACUAAAUUUUCAGAAGAUUUUUAAGUACCUCACCGCAGAAUCUCCCAGGAUCUACAAAAAAACAUGAGUCUGCUCCCAGGAAUAGAAAUAUUCAUUCCUCCUGUUCAUGUCUCUUUUGAUCUCGUGAAGAAAAAGAUGAAUGGAAAUAUUCUUCUAAGCUUUUUUAUUUUUGUUUUUUGGCGCAUCUUGAUUUUUU
rnacentral:lncRNA from 1 species